rnacentral:rRNA from 1 species
CCUACGGGAGGCUGCAGUGGGGAAUAUUGCGCAAUGGGCGAAAGCCUGACGCAGCGACGCCGCGUGAGGGAUGAAGGUCUUCGGAUCGUAAACCUCUGUCAGCAGGGAAGAACGGUCACUGUGCUAAUCAGCAGUGAAUUGACGGUACCUGCAAAGGAAGCACCGGCCAACUCCGUGCCAGCAGCCGCGGUAAUACGGAGGGUGCGAGCGUUAAUCGGAAUUACUGGGCGUAAAGCGCGCGUAGGCGGUAUGUCAAGUCAAGGGUGAAAUCCCCGCGCUCAACUUGGGAACUGCCUUUGAAACUGGCAACCUGGAGUGUGUGAGAGGUUAGUGGAAUUCCCGGUGUAGGCGUGAAAUCCGUAGAUAUCUGGCGGAACAUCAGUGGCGAAGGCGACUCUCUGGCACAUAACUGACGCUGAGGAGCGAAAGCGUGGGUAGCAAACAGGAUUAGAUACCCGAGUAGUC